rnacentral:lncRNA from 1 species
AUGAUUGAAAUUGCAAACAAUAAUAAAAUUCAGUUUCGCAAAGAGAGUGGUGGUUUGAAGCAACCGAAAGUUCGCCGAAGAUUGGUGUCGAUGGCAAAUAGCACCGCCGAUGGGAGGGUUUAUGAGCGACUGUGUUGUUUCAGGGUUUUCAGGUUUAGGAUGAUGAGCAAAGGCAACGCGUUGGACCGUGGAUUCAAUGGCAUGAGAUUUGGGAUUGUCUGUGAUGCUGUUAUUUGGAAAUUGUGGAGUGAAGUUUCAGAGAGUGUGAUUUUGAAGUGGUCUUUUUUUUUAUUCGUCUCAGACACACUAAUGUCAACAGGAAAGGCAAUGUUGGAACAAGACACCUUUUAA